AGCUGAAUGGCGCAGCGGAAGCGCGCCGGGCUCAUAACCCGGAGGACGCACGAUCGGUAAGCAA